rnacentral:tRNA from 1 species
GGAGGCUUCGCCUAGUCCGGUCUAUGGCGCCGCACUGCUAAUGCGGUUUGGGUUAUCGCCCAUCCGGGGUUCAAAUCCCCGAGCCUCCG